AUGGCGCAGCUCUUUGGUCCCAUGAAGGAGACGUCCAGCGUCAUACAGAUCAAAGACAUGGAUGCAAAAGUGUUCGGGGCCUUGCUUCGCUUCAUCUACACAGACUCAUUCCCUGAGAUGUUGUAUGACAACGACAUGGAGGUCGACGAAAUGUCAGGAGUUGUGAAGCAAGAACAAGAAGAGGAAGCAGCAGAGGACAAAACGCCAGCAGUUGUGAAACAAGAGCAAGAAAAGGAAGCAGUAGAGGAUGAAAUGCGGCUGCAGUGGCUGCAAGACUUGUUGGUAGCGGCAGACAGGUAUGACGUCCAACGGCUCAAGUUCAUCUGUGAAAAGCAGUUGUCUGAACACAUAAGUGUGGCCUCGGUGAUGUCCACUCUCGCUCUAGCCGAGCAGCACCACUGCCAGGGAUUGAAGGAGGCGUGCUUCAAGUUUAUCCAAGUCCAGUCUCCCUCGUGCUUGCAAGCCGUGAUGGAUACCAAUGGCUGGGAUUAUGUAUUUACGACCUAUCCGACGGUUUUUAAGGAGCUCGUUGCCAAGCUUGCUUCGAACCAGCGGAAGUAA
rnacentral:rRNA from 1 species